UUGCCAUUCAUAAGCGGAGAAAAGAAACCAACAGGGAAUUGCCUUAGUAACGGCGAGUGAAGCGGCAAAAGCUCAAAUUUGAAAUCUGGCACCUUCGGUGUCCGAGUUGUAAUUUGAAGAAGGUAACUUUGGAGUUGGCUCUUGUCUAUGUUCCUUGGAACAGGACGUCACAGAGGGUGAGAAUCCCGUGCGAUGAGAUGCCCAAUUCUAUGUAAAGUGCUUUCGAAGAGUCGAGUUGUUUGGGAAUGCAGCUCUAAGUGGGUGGUAAAUUCCAUCUAAAGCUAAAUAUUGGCGAGAGACCGAUAGCGAACAAGUACAGUGAUGGAAAGAUGAAAAGAACUUUGAAAAGAGAGUGAAAAAGUACGUGAAAUUGUUGAAAGGGAAGGGCUUGAGAUCAGACUUGGUAUUUUGCGAUCCUUUCCUUCUUGGUUGGGUUCCUCGCAGCUUACUGGGCCAGCAUCGGUUUGGAUGGUAGGAUAAUGACUAAGGAAUGUGGCUCUACUUCGGUGGAGUGUUAUAGCCUUGGUUGAUACUGCCUGUCUAGACCGAGGACUGCGUCUUUGCUAGGAUGCGGCAUAAU
rnacentral:rRNA from 1 species